rnacentral:lncRNA from 1 species
AUGAAUUGUAAAUGUGUCUGUGGCUGUGAUGCCUUGUCGGCCGCCUUCUGUGGGGCUCCACGCCUUUCACCAGUGAGCACGGUGCCCGCGGAGCAUCCCCCACAGCGCAUUCUGCUCGGAAUGUGCAGAAGUUCUCGCAUCUAUGGCUUGAUGACGUCCUGCAGCAGUUUUAGGAAAGUGGGUCGUCAUCUGCUGACUCAGUGCGUUUCUGUGAUUUCUGGCCCUACCCCUCGGGGAGCCCUGCUCUUCCCUCUUCUCUCCCUGCUGCAGGCCGGACACCCUCUGCAGACCUGCGGUCCCCCCGGUGGGUCUUCCUUCCGCGGGGCAUCACCCACGCUCGUGAUGACUUUGUCUCUCCCUUUCUGAUCCUGGCGACGUUACCAUCUUUCAUCUCCCCGGUGUGCAGGCCCUGCUCUCCAGAAUAGAGCUGAGGUAAGGCUGCGACGGGGACCCUGCUGGUCAGUCCCUGAUGCUGAUUCUGGAGACAUCCCCCCUCCCUAAAAGCACGUUCAUGGCAUGUAUUUUACACACCAUCUUGGCUGGGUUAGAGACAUUUCUUUCUAUUCUCAGCUUGAGUGAUGUUUGACCGCAUCUCUAUUGA